rnacentral:rRNA from 1 species
CUGCGGCGUGCCUAAUACAUGCAAGUCGAACGGUCUUUCUAUGGAAGCUUGCUUCCACUGAGAAGAGUAGUGGCGAACGGGUGAGUAACACGUGGGUAACCUGCCCAUAAGAGGGGGAGUAACAUCCGGAAACGGGUAGCUAAUACCGCAUAGUUUUCUUGAUCGCAUGAUCGGGAAAGGAAAGACGGCCUUUGUGCUGUCGCUUAUGGAUGGACCCGCGGCGUAUUAGUUGGUUGGUGAGGUAACGGCUCACCAAGACGAUGAUACGUAGCCGACCUGAGAGGGUGAUCGGCCACAUUGGGACUGAGACACGGCCCAAACUCCUACGGGAGGCAGCAGUAGGGAAUCUUCCGCAAUGGACGAAAGUCUGACGGAGCAACGCCGCGUGAGUGAAGAAGGUUUUCGGAAUCGUAAAACUCUGUUGUCAGAGAAGAGCAAGUUGGAGAGUAACUGCUCCAGCCUUGACGGUAUCUGACCAGAAAGCCACGGCUAACUACGUGCCAGCAGCUGC